rnacentral:rRNA from 1 species
AGUGAACACUGGCGGCGUGCUUAACACAUGCAAGUCGAACGAGAACGGAUUAUAGCUUGCUAUAAUUGUCAGCUAAGUGGCGCACGGGUGAGUAAUGUAUAGGUAAUAUGCCUCUUACUAAGGGAUAACAAAUGGAAACGUUUGCUAAUACCUUAUACUCCUUAUUAACAGAAGUUAAUAAGGGAAAGAUUUAUUGGUAAGAGAUUAGCCUGUAUUGUAUCAGUUAGUUGGUGGGUAAUGGCUUACCAAGACUAUGACACAUAACUGGUUUGAGAGGAUGAACAGUCACACUGGAACUGAGACACGGUCCAGACUCCUACGGGAGGCAGCAGUGGGGAAUAUUGCACAAUGGACGAAAGUCUGAUGCAGCAACGCCGCGUGGAGGAUGACACAUUUCGGUGCGUAAACUCCUUUUAUAUGAGAAGAUAAUGACGGUAUUAUAUGAAUAAGCACCGGCUAACUCCGUGCCAGCCGCCGCUGUAA